rnacentral:rRNA from 1 species
UGGCGAACGGGUGAGUAACACGUGGGUAAUCUGCCCUGCACUCUGGGAUAAGCCUGGGAAACUGGGUCUAAUACUGGAUAUGACCUUUCUCCUUAUGGGGUUUGGUGAAAAGUUUUUCGGUGUAGGAUGAGCCCGCGGCCUAUCAGCUUGUUGGUGGGGUGAUGGCCUACCAAGGCGACGACGGGUAGCCGGCCUGAGAGGGUGAUCGGCCACAUUGGGUCUGAGAUACGGCCCAG